UACGAAGGGGGCUAGCGUUAAUCGGAAUUACUGGGCGUAAAGCGCGCGUAGGCGGCUUUGCAAGUCGGGUGUGAAAUCCCCAGGCUUAACCUGGGAACUGCAUUCGAGACUGCAUUGCUAGAGUAUGGGAGAGGGAAGUGGAAUUUCCGGUGUAGCGGUGAAAUGCGUAGAUAUCGGAAGGAACAUCAGUGGCGAAAGCGACUUCCUGGACCAAUACUGACGCUCAUGUGCGAAAGCGUGGGGAGCAAACAGG
rnacentral:rRNA from 1 species